rnacentral:lncRNA from 1 species
CAGCAACUCAGAUUCUCACACUGACACAACACUGCGUGCUCAGGGUGAGGUUAUGCAGGAGGUCAGAUUUUUUGCUUCAGAAGAAGGUUCCAAGCCAGAUGGGUGCUGAGGAGGAAACGAGCCCCUGAAAGCAGAGGAUGUGGCAGGCUCCUGUACCUAUGAUACCCUCCUCCCACUCCCUCCCAGCACAGAGACAUUUCUCUGCUACCAACAAGUCUGGAAU